GCUGGGCACGGUGGUGCAUGCCUGUAAUCCCAGCAGCUCAGGAGGCUGAGGCAAGAGGAUCAUGAGUUCAAAGCCAGGCACUAAGCAACUCAGUAAGACCCUGUCUCUA
rnacentral:sRNA from 1 species